rnacentral:rRNA from 1 species
UACAGAGACUGCAAGCGUUAUUCGGAUUCACUGGGCGUAAAGGGUGCGCAGGCGGUUGAGUGUGUCAGAUGUGAAAUCCCGAGGCUCAACCUCGGAACUGCGUCUGAAACUACUCGACUAGAGUACUGGAGAGGGUAACGGAAUUCACGGUGUAGCAGUGAAAUGCGUAGAUAUCGUGAGGAACACCAGAGGCGAAGGCGGUUACCUGGACAGUUACUGACGCUCAUGCACGAAAGCGUGGGGAGCAAACAGG